AAAUAAACCCGAUUGAAGUGGACAUUCCGAUCCUUCAUCGGAAUAAAACGGAAAGCGGGACUGAAA
rnacentral:sRNA from 1 species